rnacentral:rRNA from 1 species
GACGAGGGGUCCAAGCGUUGUUCGGAAUCAUUGGGCGUAAAGCGGGUGUAGGUGGCUCUAUAAGUCAGAAGUGAAAGCCCCGGGCUUAACCCGGGAAGUGCUUUUGAUACUGCAGAGCUUGAAUGUGGGAGAGGGUAGUGGAAUUCCAGGUGUAGUGGUGAAAUACGUAGAUAUCUGGAGGAACACCAGUGGCGAAGGCGAUCACCUGGGGUUGUUCUGACGCUGAGGAGCGAAAGCUAGGGGAGCAAACGGG